UACAGGGGGUGCAAACGUUGCUCGGAUUUAUUGGGCGUAAAGAGCUCGUAGGCGGCUUGUCGCGUCGGCUGUGAAAUCCCGUGGCUCAACUGCGGGUCUGCAGCCGAUACGGGCAGGCUAGAGUUCGGUAGGGGAGACUGGAAUUCCUGGUGUAGCGGUGAAAUGCGCAGAUAUCAGGAGGAACACCGGUGGCGAAGGCGGGUCUCUGGACAGUUCCUGACACUGAGACACGAAGGCCAGGGGAGCAAACGGG
rnacentral:rRNA from 1 species